rnacentral:rRNA from 1 species
AGAUUGAACGCUGGCGGCGUGCUUAACACAUGCAAGUCGAACGCUCCAGCAAUGGAGAGUGGCAGACGGGUGAGUAACGCGUGGGAACCUUCCCAAUGGUACGGAACAGCUCAGGGAAACUUGAGGUAAUACCGUAUACGCCCCAAGGGGGAAAGAUUUAUCGCCAUUGGAUGGGCCCGCGUCGGAUUAGCUAGUUGGUGAGGUAAUGGCUCACCAAGGCGACGAUCCGUAGCUGGUCUGAGAGGAUGAUCAGCCACACUGGGACUGAGACACGGCCCAGACUCCUACGGGAGGCAGCAGUGGGGAAUAUUGGACAAUGGGCGCAAGCCUGAUCCAGCCAUGCCGCGUGAGUGACGAAGGCCUUAGGGUUGUAAAGCUCUUUUGGCGGGACGAUAAUGACGGUACCCGCAGAAUAAGCUCCGGCUAACUUCGUGCCAGCAGCCGC